rnacentral:sRNA from 1 species
AUCAGUUGGAUUUGUUGGCCUUCACAA